rnacentral:rRNA from 1 species
CUUUCUUUGCUGGCGACCGGCGCACGGGUGAGUAACACGUAUCCAACCUGCCCUUUACUCGGGGAUAGCCUUUCAAAAGAAAGAUUAAUACCCGAUAGCAUAAUGAUUCCGCAUGGUUUCAUUAUUAAAGGAUUCCGGCAAAGGAUGGGGAUGCGUUCCAUUAGGUUGUUGGUGAGGUAACGGCCCACCAAGCCUUCGAUGGAUAGGGGUUCUGAGAGGAAGGUCCCCCACAUUGGAACUGAGACACGGUCCAA